CACGUAGGGUGCGAGCGUUUGUCCGGAAUUAUUGGGCGUAAAGAGCUCGUAGGCGGCUUGUCGCGUCGGGAGUGAAAGCCCGCUGCUUAACGGCGGGUUUGCUUUCGGUACGGGCAGGCUGGAGGCAGGCAGGGGGAGAACGGAAUUCCCGGUGUAGCGGUGAAAUGCGCAGAUAUCGGGAGGAACACCGGUGGCGAAGGCGGUUCUCUGGGCCUGUACUGACGCUGAGGAGCGAAAGCGUGGGGAGCGAACAGG
rnacentral:rRNA from 1 species